CCUACGGGUGGCAGCAGUGGGGAAUAUUGCACAAUGGGCGCAAGCCUGAUGCAGCCAUGCCGCGUGUGUGAAGAAGGCCUUCGGGUUGUAAAGCACUUUCAGCGGGGAGGAAGGCGGUGAGGUUAAUAACCUCAUCGAUUGACGUUACCCGCAGAAGAAGCACCGGCUAACUCCGUGCCAGCAGCCGCGGUAAUACGGAGGGUGCAAGCGUUAAUCGGAAUUACUGGGCGUAAAGCGCACGCAGGCGGUCUGUCAAGUCGGAUGUGAAAUCCCCGGGCUCAACCUGGGAACUGCAUUCGAAACUGGCAGGCUAGAGUCUUGUAGAGGGGGGUAGAAUUCCAGGUGUAGCGGUGAAAUGCGUAGAGAGCUGGAGGAAUACCGGUGGCGAAGGCGGCCCCCUGGACAAAGACUGACGCUCAGGUGCGAAAGCGUGGGGAGCAAACAGGAUUAGAUACCCGAGUAGUC
rnacentral:rRNA from 1 species